AGAGUUUGAUCCUGGCUCAGGAUGAACGCUAGCGACAGGCCUAACACAUGCAAGUCGAGGGGCAGCACAUGAGUAGCAAUACGAUGGUGGCGACCGGCGCACGGGUGAGUAACACGUAUGCAACCUGCCUGUAAGAGGGGAAUAACCCGGAGAAAUUCGGACUAAUACCGCAUAAUACCACGAGACUGCAUGGUUUUGUGGUUAAACAUUUAUGGCUUACAGAUGGGCAUGCGUAUGAUUAGAUAGUUGGUAGGGUAACGGCCUACCAAGUCUACGAUCAUUAGGGGUUCUGAGAGGAAGGUCCCCCACACUGGUACUGAGACACGGACCAGACUCCUACGGGAGGCAGCAGUGAGGAAUAUUGGUCAAUGGGCGAGAGCCUGAACCAGCCAAGUCGCGUGAAGGAAGAAGGUUCUAUGGAUUGUAAACUUCUUUUGCAGGGGAAUAAAGGACGGUACGUGUACUGUUUUGUAUGUACCUUGCGAAUAAGGAUCGGCUAACUCCGUGCCAGCAGCCGCGGUAAUACGGAGGAUCCGAGCGUUAUCCGGAUUUAUUGGGUUUAAAGGGUGCGUAGGUGGAUUGUUAAGUCAGUGGUGAAAGUUUUCAGCUCAACUGAAAAAUUGCCGUUGAAACUGUCGAUCUUGAGUGCAAAUGAGGUAGGCGGAAUGUGUUGUGUAGCGGUGAAAUGCUUAGAUAUAACACAGAACUCCGAUUGCGAAGGCAGCUUACUGGGAUGCAACUGACACUGAUGCACGAAAGCGUGGGUAUCAAACAGGAUUAGAUACCCUGGUAGUCCACGCAGUAAACGAUGAAUACUAGCUGUAUGCGAUACACCGUAUGUGGCACAGCGAAAGCGUUAAGUAUUCCACCUGGGGAGUACGUUCGCAAGAAUGAAACUCAAAGGAAUUGACGGGGGCCCGCACAAGCGGAGGAACAUGUG
rnacentral:rRNA from 1 species